GUGGCAUGAUGUCAUUUUGUUAUUAGGCACCACCGUGGGGACUGCAUGUUGUCAAUGGACCCACUAUGCUCAUGAUGCUCCUUAUCGAGUUCUCCCCUGUGCAGCUCCCAGGCCCUGCUCCUGGGGCAGUCGCGUGGGGCCCCUCACCAUCUGACGGCUGUCACCGCAGGCUAGGAUGUGCAUUUUCAACAGCCCAGGCUUCGAGGGCUGCUCCUGGAGUAUGAUGGAUACUGUAGCUGUUUGCUUUUGAAAAAGAAAGACCUGUGGCGAGAGCAUUUCCUUCUCUAAGUAAACACCUGACUGGGUCCUGUUCAUUGGAUUCUGCAAUUCUGCACGUGAAAAUGUCAAAACACGAAGUCCUCUCAUAUUCUGAAUAGCUGAGAAACAGCCUAACGUGCAGUUUCCAGGACACGGUUGGGGCAGCCAAGCUAAGGAGCUGCUGGACCUACAGAACUGUGAGCCCCACCAUUUCCCCGUGGAUUCUGAGUGACACGGUGGCCCUGGCCUGAACUGGCCCCAACAUUUCCCCAUGGACUCUGAGUGACAUGACAGCCCUAGCCUGAGCCGGCAGGACAGUCGCUGGCUGCCUGUGCUCCUGUGAACCCAGGGCCUGUCUCAAGGCCUGCCUGCUCUCAGUCAAGCCUGCUGGUGGGUGUGGGGCCCUUUCCCUACACACGGUCCAAUCGUGAUCAAAGGAGGAUGAGGAUGGAGAAAAGUGUCCUUCCAGUUCAUUCAGACAGUAACCUUCUGCAUGAUGACUUACUAGUACACGGGAUGGAGAACAUUCUGAUGUCUCCAUGGAUUUUACAGUGUGCUGCACAGACCCAUGGCACAGCGAGUAGAAAGUCAUCUAAGUGUCUAGUCUUCCUGGGUCAGCAGUAUAGAAUGCGUUCAGGAGUGUGUGACUCUUGUACACUUCAAAAGCCUGGAGACAAGUGCUUCCCAGCUGUGCUGCAGAAGUGGGCCCUGGGUGCAGAGCCGGAAGCUUCCAGAUUCUCUGCAUGGCUGACCCAGAGCUGCCUCCACAUCCCUGGCUGCUCAGAGAGGCCUGAAGGCCCCAAGAGCAGGUGUCGGGGAGCGGGCGGCUCUGGCCGUAUUGAGGCAGGGCUGCUGGCUCCUGUUUCAACCUCUCUGCCUCUGAGCUGGCUGUCCUGGGAUGGGUGGGUGUGGGCAUGGGCAUAGGGGCAUGGAAGGGGACCAUGUCCUGCAGAUGGACGUCUAGCUAAUGAGGACGCUAUGGGAGCAUGUCCUGGGGUCACUCCCUGCUAUCUGGCUUUUCUAAGUACAAGCAUUCAAAACAUUCUGGGAUUACAGCAGAGGCAUGGCCUCUGACAGGCAAGGAUGACAUGUGGCCAGACACACCUGGACGUUGUGGGGAGUAGGUCGCUUUAGGAACCCUGUGGCCAGGCUCAGCUUAGAGCUGGGAAGAGGUCCAGGAAAGGUCUGUGGUAUGCCUGGCACUAGCCCUGUGCAACCAGGCCCGUGUGGAUGGUCCAGGCCAUGGCCAAAGUGAGGCUUUUGUCUAUUUAUCUUAGAAACACAGAGGAUAUUUCCAUUUUUAUGCACCAUUUUCUGAAUCAGCCACAUAAUCAUUGGUUCCUACAGCAAGAAUUUCACCAGAUUCCGGGUUUUAUUAAUUCAGUGGGAAACACUCGCUGCCUCCUCUGUGCCGAGACCUGUUCCAGGUUCCGGAGAUGCAUAAAUAAUGAGCUGUGGUUCGUGCUCUCUGGAGGUACCUGUGCUGUAGAAGACAAAAAGGUACACGUGCUCAGAGCAUGGUGAGAUGGUUCAUCGGCGAAGGUCUACACCCAGAGAUGGGGAGGCUGGUCCCAGAUCUCAAGGGAUGGUCCCUUCUUGGAAUCAGAAUCGUCUGCAUGAAGUGGUGGUGGGAUGCAGAAACCCGGGGUGAGGCAGCGGCCCUGGGGGCUGGAUCCAGGAAGGUCCUGAGAUGCUUCUGGUCAGGACUCAAACUCCAGGAAGGGAUGCCUCAAUGUGAGACACUGGUGCCUCCUUGGUGAGGUAGUGAUGGGGGCACCACUGCCGUGCCGGCUCUGGGGAUAAUUCCCCCCAGGGGGUUUGGGCUCAGAGGCAGGGCCCCACCGCAUGUUGGAAAGACAGGGUGUGGUGUUUCAGGAGAUUGGUCACAUAGAGUGAGGACUAGACCUGUGAGCUCACAGAGCAAAGGGCCACAGUCAGGUCCUGGCUCUGCCUCCUUGAGCAGCUGCUCGGUCUUGACCUGCCUCAGUUUCCUCAUCCAUGAAAUGGGAAUGUUGGUAUUAUCUGCCUUGUGGCUUUCUCAUGAGGGUUAAUGAGGAUGUGCAGUGCCUGUCCCACCGUAAAUGCUCAAUGCCUUGUUUCCGUGGUUGUUCUUAGAGUCUUCCAAACUUAAUCUACGGGAAGAAAUUAUCAUUUAACAAGUAGAAUUAAUCUCUGGGGACAUAAUUUUCAUUUUUGUAAACAAUUAUGUCUCUUCUUUACUUGACGUAGGUCAAAAUCAGAAUAUGUAGUAAAUUUAGCCUCCAAAGUAUAGCUAAAUACGGUAAUACCUGAUUACCUAACACAGGCUAAUUUUGCUUUGGGGUCAGCUAAAGGGACGGUUCAGAUGCAGUCAUUCAUCACUGCUAAAAUCCUCACAAAUAUUUGUGUGUGGUUAUUGUUCAGUAACAGCAACCCCUUCAACUCCAAAUACAAGCUUCCAACAGGUUCAAUGAUGGGAGCUGCCCGAGAGACCCAGGUCAUCUGGUUUACUCCCAGGAGAAAAGUCACAGCAGACACAAUUCGUCACUUUUGGCUGGGAAGCUGCUUCUCUCAUGAGAUGAAGUCGUGGCCGUCAGUAACUCUUUCCUAAACUCUUCCCCAUCAAACUGAGUGCACUCCCUGGCCUCUGUUAAUGAACAGCGACUUCAUGUCCAGGAAUUGCACUGCUUGUUGUGAGGCAGAUGACGUGGAUCCAGGCCAGGUGUCCAGGUGGGAAUCCUGACAUGUGAGGUCCGGGAGAGGACCUCUUGCUCUGUGGAGUCAGGGCCCAGGUCAGGCAAGUGCUGGACCCGAGAUUGGCCUCGGUUCUCUCCCAAGGAGUGUCCGGACAAGGGAGCAAUUGACGUGUGUGUGUGUGUGUGUGUGUGUGUGUGUUUGUGUAAGAUCAUUGACUUGCUGGUCAAAAUAAAUGACAAAUGA